rnacentral:rRNA from 1 species
GCUUGCUCCCUGAUAUCAGCGGCGGACGGGUGAGUAACACGUGGGUAACCUGCCUGUAAGACUGGGAUAACUCCGGGAAACCGGGGCUAAUACCGGAUAACUCAUUUCCUCGCAUGAGGAAAUGUUGAAAGGUGGCUUYUWGCUAYCACUUACAGAUGGACCCGCGGCGCAUUAGCUAGUUGGUGAGGUAACGGCUCACCAAGGCAACGAUGCGUAGCCRACCUGAGAGGGUGAUCGGCCACACUGGGACUGAGACACGGCCCARACUCCUACGGGAGGCAGCAGUAGGGAAUCUUCCGCAAUGGACRAAAGUCUGACGGAGCAMCGCCGCGUGAGUGAUGAAGGUUUUCGGAUCGUAAAGCUCUGUUGUUAGGGAAGAACAAGUGCCGUUCGAWUAGGGCGGCACCUUGACGGUACCUAACCAGAAAGCCACGGCUAACUACGUGCCAGCAGCCGCGGUAAUACGUAGGUGGCAAGCGUUGUCCGGAAUUAUUGGGCGUAAAGCGCGCGCAGGUGGUUCCUUAAGUCUGAUGUGAAAGCCCACGGCUCAMCCGUGGAGGGUCAUUGGAAACUGGGGAACUUGAGUGCAGAAGAGGAAAGUGGAAUUCCAAGUGUAGCGGUGAAAUGCGUAGAUAUUUGGAGGAACACCAGUGGCGAAGGCGACUUUCUGGUCUGUAACUGACACUGAGGCGCGAAAGCGUGGGGAGCAAACAGGAUUAGAUACCCUGGUAGUCCACGCCGUAAACGAUGAGUGCUAAGUGUUAGGGGUUUCCGCCCCUUAGUGCUGCAGCUAACGCAUAGCACUCGCUGC